GUUGGGUAGGGGAGCGUUCUGUAAGCCUGCGAAGGUGGCCUGUGAGGGUUGCUGGAGGUAUCAGAAGUGCGAAUGCUGACAUAAGUAACGAUAAAGCGGGUGAAAAGCCCGCUCGCCGGAAGACCAAGGGUUCCUGUCCAACGUUAAUCGGGGCAGGGUGAGUCGACCCCUAAGGCGAGGCCGAAAGGCGUAGUCGAUGGGAAACGGGUUAAUAUUCCCGUACUUGGUGUUACUGCGAAGGGGGGACGGAGAAGGCUAUGUUGGCCGGGCGACGGUUGUCCCGGUUUAAGCGUGUAGGUGUGUGUUCCAGGUAAAUCCGGUUCACUUUAACACUGAGGCGUGACGACGAGGCACUACGGUGCUGAAGCAACAAAUGCCCUGCUUCCAGGAAAAGCCUCUAAGCAUCAGGUAACAUCAAAUCGUACCCCAAACCGACACAGGUGGUCAGGUAGAGAAUACCAAGGCGCUUGAGAGAACUCGGGUGAAGGAACUAGGCAAAAUGGUGCCGUAACUUCGGGAGAAGGCACGCUGACACGUAGGUGAAGUGAUUUACUCACGGAGCUGAAGUCAGUCGAAGAUACCAGCUGGCUGCAACUGUUUAUUAAAAACACAGCACUGUGCAAACACGAAAGUGGACGUAUACGGUGUGACGCCUGCCCGGUGCCGGAAGGUUAAUUGAUGGGGUCAGCGCAAGCGAAGCUCCUGAUCGAAGCCCCGGUAAACGGCGGCCGUAACUAUAACGGUCCUAAGGUAGCGAAAUUCCUUGUCGGGUAAGUUCCGACCUGCACGAAUGGCGUAAUGAUGGCCAGGCUGUCUCCACCCGAGACUCAGUGAAAUUGAACUCGCUGUGAAGAUGCAGUGUACCCGCGGCAAGACGGAAAGACCCCGUGAACCUUUACUAUAGCUUGACACUGAACAUUGAGCCUUGAUGUGUAGGAUAGGUGGGAGGCUUUGAAGUGUGGACGCCAGUCUGCAUGGAGCCGACCUUGAAAUACCACCCUUUAAUGUUUGAUGUUCUAACGUGGACCCGUGAUCCGGGUUGCGGACAGUGUCUGGUGGGUAGUUUGACUGGGGCGGUCUCCUCCUAAAGAGUAACGGAGGAGCACGAAGGUUGGCUAAUCCUGGUCGGACAUCAGGAGGUUAGUGCAAUGGCAUAAGCCAGCUUGACUGCGAGCGUGACGGCGCGAGCAGGUGCGAAAGCAGGUCAUAGUGAUCCGGUGGUUCUGAAUGGAAGGGCCAUCGCUCAACGGAUAAAAGGUACUCCGGGGAUAACAGGCUGAUACCGCCCAAGAGUUCAUAUCGACGGCGGUGUUUGGCACCUCGAUGUCGGCUCAUCACAUCCUGGGGCUGAAGUAGGUCCCAAGGGUAUGGCUGUUCGCCAUUUAAAGUGGUACGCGAGCUGGGUUUAGAACGUCGUGAGACAGUUCGGUCCCUAUCUGCCGUGGGCGCUGGAGAACUGAGGGGGGCUGCUCCUAGUACGAGAGGACCGGAGUGGACGCAUCACUGGUGUUCGGGUUGUCAUGCCAAUGGCACUGCCCGGUAGCUAAAUGCGGAAGAGAUAAGUGCUGAAAGCAUCUAAGCACGAAACUUGCCCCGAGAUGAGUUCUCCCUGAGACUU
rnacentral:rRNA from 2 species